CAUGUGUUCCUGCUUUCAACAUCCUGAAAACCCCUCUCGGCAAGGAACACCAUAGAGAUGCUCUGCUAACGGCUUCAUCAAUCAAUGAUGGCACAAACUCGCCAGCAACAUCAACAAAGGAUAUAAACCAUUGAUUCAUAAUCAACAUUUCCAUCAUCACCACUGCCGAGCUUAGGAGGUGAAGACAAAACACAAUCUCUAAUAGGAAAUUCGUCAACUAGCUUCGGUUCACUAGGAUGACAAGCCAUGGUGCUGCUCUGGGUGAUGGUGGGAGCUUCCGUUCACUUCUUUGAUUUGAUAACUCUGAUUCGGCCAUGGGAACGGACGAGAUUGAACUGAAGCGGUUUAAAAUGGCUAAAAAUGGGAU